rnacentral:rRNA from 1 species
AUUGAACGCUGGCGGCAUGCCUAACACAUGCAAGUCGAACGGCAGCAUAGGAGCUUGCUCCUGAUGGCGAGUGGCGAACGGGUGAGUAAUAUAUCGGAACGUGCCCUAGAGUGGGGGAUAACUAGUCGAAAGAUUAGCUAAUACCGCAUACGAUCUACGGAUGAAAGUGGGGGAUCGCAAGACCUCAUGCUCCUGGAGCGGCCGAUAUCUGAUUAGCUAGUUGGUGGGGUAAAAGCCUACCAAGGCGACGAUCAGUAGCUGGUCUGAGAGGACGACCAGCCACACUGGGACUGAGACACGGCCCAGACUCCUACGGGAGGCAGCAGUGGGGAAUUUUGGACAAUGGGGGCAACCCUGAUCCAGCAAUGCCGCGUGAGUGAAGAAGGCCUUCGGGUUGUAAAGCUCUUUUGUCAGGGAAGAAACGGUUCUGGAUAAUACCCAGAGCUAAUGACGGUACCUGAAGAAUAAGCACCGGCUAACUACGUGCCAGCCGCCGCUGUAAUAC